AGCGCGUCAUCAACCUGCGCGGCGGCCGCUCCUGCAGCCGCGGCCGCCGCCACUGCCGGGAGAGCUCGAUGGGCUUCUCCUGCGCGCCGCCCGGUGUCUGGCCGAGUCCAGAGAGCCGCGGCGCCUCGUUCCGAGGAGCCAUCGCCGAAGCCCGAGGCCGGGUCCCGGGUUGGGGACUGCAGGGGAAGGCAGCGGCGGCGGCGGCGGGAGCCCCACCGGGGUCUGGGACUGGGGAACUGCCUCCGGCUUCACGGGGGCAGUGCCCAAAGGAAAUGCCACUAAAGAAUUCAUCGAGAGUUUACAGUUGAAGCCUGGGCAGGUGGUGUACAAGUGCCCCAAAUGCUGCAGCAUCAAGCCCGACCGAGCCCACCACUGCAGUGUUUGUAAGCGGUGCAUUCGGAAGAUGGACCACCACUGUCCCUGGGUCAACAACUGUGUAGGCGAGAACAACCAGAAGUACUUCGUCCUGUUUACAAUGUACAUAGCUCUCAUUUCCUUGCACGCCCUCAUCAUGGUGGGAUUCCACUUCCUGCAUUG
rnacentral:lncRNA from 1 species